rnacentral:rRNA from 1 species
CGGGGUCGAGUUGUAUUUGGAGAGGAUGUUUCGGGUACGGCGCCGGUCUAAGUCCCUUGGAACAGGGCAUCAUAGAGGGUGAGAAGCCCGUAUGUGACCGGUGACCAAGCCCAUGUGAAACUCCUUCGACGAGUCGAGUUGUUUGGGAAUGCAGCUCAAAAUGGGAGGUAAAUUUCUUCUAAAGCUAAAUACCGGCCAGAGACCGAUAGCGCACAAGUAGAGUGAUCGAAAGAUGAAAAGCACUUUGGAAAGAGAGUCAAACAGUACGUGAAAUUGUUGAAAGGGAAGCGCUUGCAACCAGACCUGUCCGCGGGCGAUCAACCUCUGUUCUCAGGGGUGUACUCGUCCACGAUCAGGCCAGCAUCGGUUCGGGCGGCCGGAUAAAGGCCUCGGGAAUGUAGCUCCUCUCGGGGAGUGUUAUAGCCCUCGGUGCAAUGCGGCCUGCCCGGACCGAGGACCGCGCUUCGGCUAGGAUGCUGGCGUAAUGGUUGUAAGCGACCCGUCUUGAAACACGGACCAAGGAGUGGAAUAUCUAUGCGAGUGUUUGGGUGUCAAGCCCAUGCGCGGAAUGAAAGUGAACGGAGGUGAGAACCCUUGAGGGCGCAUCAUCGACCGAUCCAGAUGUCUUCGGAUGGAUUUGAGUACGAGCAUAACUAUUCCGACCCGAAAGAUGGUGAACUACACUUGAAUAGGGUGAAGCCAGAGGAAACUCUGGUGGAGGCUCGCAGCGGUUCUGACGUGCAAAUCGAUCGUCAAAUUUGAGUGUAGGGGCGAAAGACUAAUC